GUGUUAGUCACUUUUCUCCUCGCUGUCACACAAAACCUGACAUGAGCAACAUUCAGGCUGGGUCUCCUCAGUUACACCUCCUGCAAAUAUCCUUUAGCUACUGUGGUGGUCUGAAUGAAGAUGGCCCACAUAGGCCCAUACGGAGUGCCACUAAAGAGGUGUGGCCUUGUUGGAGUGGGUGUGGCUUUGCUGGAGGAUGCGCGUCACUAGGGGGCGGGUCUGAGGAGCUCAAGCUGGGGCUUAGUGGCUCAAGGUCUCUUCCUGAUGCCUUCGGAUCUGGAUAUAGAAUGCUCUCCUCCUCUCAAGCACCAGGUCUGCCUACACACGGCUGUGCUUCCCACCAUGAUGAUAAUGAACUAAACCCCUGAAACUAAGCCAGCCCAGAGUAUGUUUUCCAUCAUGAGAGCUGCCAUGGUCAUGGGGUCUCUUCACAGCAAGAGAACCCCUGACUCAGACAGG
rnacentral:lncRNA from 1 species